AACGAACGCUGGCGGCAGGCUUAACACAUGCAAGUCGAGCGCCCCGCAAGGGGAGCGGCAGACGGGUGAGUAACGCGUGGGAAUCUACCCAUCUCUACGGAAUAACGCAUGGAAACGUGUGCUAAUACCGUAUACGUCCUUCGGGAGAAAGAUAUAUCGGAGAUGGAUGAGCCCGCGUUGGAUUAGCUAGUUGGUGGGGUAAAGGCCUACCAAGGCGACGAUCCAUAGCUGGUCUGAGAGGAUGAUCAGCCACACUGGGACUGAGACACGGCCCAGACUCCUACGGGAGGCAGCAGUGGGGAAUAUUGGACAAUGGGCGCAAGCCUGAUCCAGCCAUGCCGCGUGAGUGAUGAAGGCCCUAGGGUUGUAAAGCUCUUUCACCGGUGAAGAUAAUGACGGUAACCGGAGAAGAAGCCCCGGCUAACUUCGUGCCAGCCGCCGCGGUAA
rnacentral:rRNA from 2 species